rnacentral:rRNA from 1 species
UACCAGCUCUCCGAGUGGUAGGGAUGAUUAUUGGGCUUAAAGCGUCCGUAGCCGGCUUAGCAAGUUUCCUGUUAAACCCAGCGACUCAAUCGUUGGAUCGCGGGAAAUACUACUAGGCUAGGAGGCGGGAGAGGUCAACGGUACUUCUGGGGUAGGGGUGAAAUCCUAUAAUCCCGGGAGGACCACCAGUGGCGAAGGCUGUUGACUAGAACGCGCUCGACGGUGAGGGACGAGAGCUGGGGUAGCAAACCGGAUUAGAUACCCGGGUAGUCCCAGCUGUAAACGAUGCAAGCUAGGUGUUGGGAUGGCUACGGGCCAUUUCAGUGCCGCAGGGAAGCCAUUAAGCUCGCCGCCUGGGGAGUACGGCCGCAAGGCUGAAACUUAAAGGAAUUGGCGGGGAGCACCACAAGGCGUGAAGCUUGCGGUUC